UCACUAUACCUAGGUGUGUACUAUGAA
rnacentral:sRNA from 1 species